AGCGAACGCUGGCGGCAGGCUUAACACAUGCAAGUCGAGCGGGCAUAGCAAUAUUUCCGCGGCAGACGGGUGAGUAACGCGUGGGAACGUACCUUUUGGUUCGGAACAACUGAGGGAAACUUCAGCUAAUACCGGAUAAGCCCUUACGGUGAAAGCUUUAUCGCCGAAAGAUCGGCCCGCGUCUGAUUAGCUAGUUGGUGAGGUAAUGGCUCACCAAGGCGACGAUCAGUAGCUGGUCUGAGAGGAUGAUCAGCCACAUUGGGACUGAGACACGGCCCAAACUCCUACGGGAGGCAGCAGUGGGGAAUAGUGGACAAUGGGCGCAAGACUGAUCCAGCCAUGCCGCGUGAGUGAUGAAGGCCCUAGGGUUGUAAAGCUCUUUUGUGCGGGAAGAUAAUGACGGUACCGCAAGAAUAAGCCCCGGCUAACUUCGUG
rnacentral:rRNA from 1 species